UGGUUUGGAGAUGCUGAGUAGUUGACUGGCAAGUCCUGUUGAGUUACUUGGUAAUACUGAUUUGAUUCUGAUGGUUUUGAUUCGAAGAUUACAAGACAGUGGUUGUGGCAGGGACGAAUGCAAAAAGGUCAGAAUGGACAAGGCUAGGGACACUCAACCCUAAAGAAACUGAGGCCCAGACUCAACAGAUGCAUUCAAGAAAGAUAAAGUGCCUACCAUUUAAGCCGUGUAGUUUGUGCUGGGGUUUACAGAGAAAAAACAUUGUGACAUAAUGGAAGGCAUAUGGGAUUUAGAACCAUAGAGUGGAUUCCAAACUGACUGCAGGUUUAUGUCCACAUCACUGUAACAUGAAGAGAAUACUCUAAAAUGACGAGAUUAGGGAUGGAAAAUUGAAACAGUUAGUUACCUUUGCACAACAACAUCAAAUUUUACUUCAACGGUCACCUUCAUGAGGUGAAUCUGGUCACCACAAAAACUAAUGCUCAUGAAAAAUAAUCAAAUAUUUCUAAGGACAAACAACUGCUACCAGCUGAUGACAAACCAAACAGGAGUUUUCUGAGCUGUCAAAUUAUAUCAGCAACAAAACCUAUAAGCUGGACAACAAUGCAAAUAGAAAAGUUACUUUAGGCUGUGAAGCACAAGUAGACUACUCAUGUUACUUGAGAAUAUACUUCCAUCAAAUUCACAAGUUCUCUUCGAAAAUCCUUUUACUGCAAAAAGCCAAAGCUUGCAAACACACACCUGGUCACCCAGAUGCCCCAUCCACCAACUUGACACCUUAAAAACAUAAUGAUGUGAAGUAAAACGAUAUGAUGAAAAGAGCACUAGCCUUGGAUUAAGAAAGACCUGGAUCCAAAAAAUUUCACUAUAUUCAAUCCCCAAAGUACAUGGGCAUAUCAUUUCAUCUCUGGGAAGUUCCGGCCCCUUGUCACUCUUAAGAGAACUCAAUUUCUGUUUAAAACUUACAAAAAUAAAGCUACUAAGCUCUUACUCUAAGUGUUCAAAAUGUUUUUUUUUUUUUUUAACAGCACUUUAAGGCUCACAAAGAACUUUCUUCACUACUAUGCUACAAUGAUAGGUCAAAUAUUACUUUCCUUGUACAAGUAAGUAAACUGAGGCUCACAGAGAUUAACUGUGGUCACACAGCUAUUAGGAAUCAGGUAACAACCAACCAAGAAUAGGACAGGGCCAAUCAGAUAAAAACAGAUGACUGUACUCAGGAAGAAAGGGAUCCAAAUCCAGGUAACAGGAAGUGUAUUUGUUCUAAAAAGUAUUUCAUAAAAGUGAAAGUUAAAAUACCUGUUGCUUUCAUUAAGGAUUAGUUUUCAACAAGAUAAAGCCAAUAAAGAGAAAAAUGGUCCUUCAUCAAUAUGUAUAUUUGAACUUUACUGUAUAAAAAAUCACUUUUGGGUAUAUAUUUUUAAAAGAUGUAAUUUCUCCGUGAGGUAAAAAAUUCAAAUUUGAACACCCAAAUUAGGUCCUUACAUCCCAGGUUUGACAAAAUUUAAUUUCCUGAUAAACAGUUAACAGGCGACUUGGCUCAAAGCAAAACCUCAAUUGCUGGAUUAACAUUUUCAAAGUGGAGCCAGAACAGGUGGGAAGAAGUGGGACCAGUCAGUGAGGUGCUGGGGUGAGGGGGCAGGAAGCUUUCAGAACACCCCAGCCCAGGCUAGUUUUUCAGAAACACGACGAGCUUCGAAGGCUCUCCCGUCAGCCGUAAUUACCCCAACAGGGUGGGGGUCUUGGAAGUCGUAGUCUAAAUGCCCCACCGCAAUCUCUCCCUCCAACGACACCGAUCGUAGAAGGGCAACCCCCUCCCCCACGGCUCUCUCCCUUUUGGAGGAGUCUACAAAGUGUCCGCGGGGGAGGCACGGGGAAGGGGGGGAAGUAAAGAGAGAAGAGGAUUCCUUCCUUCCUUCCCCCUCCUCUCUAAAUUCCCCAAAGGGCCCGAUCUUCUCUCGGGGAUGGGGGAGGUGGAGGGCGGACUUGGGAGUCAGGAGGAGCCCAGCUGGGAAAGCAAUCCCUACCUCAGCCUUCCCACCUUGCCCCGGAGCCAGCCACUUCCUCCCGGAUCAGAGCAUCGGUAACCUCCGAGCCCCAGGGUAGGCAUUGGGGGAGACCCAGAAGGAGGGGGUGCGGGA